UACCAGUUUCAAAGCUCUGAGAAGGACCAUUUUGUUUGAAAGCUAACAUUAGCACUUAGAGCCCAGUUCAAUGUUGUAUCGUCACGGCAAACAAGUACUUUUUUUUGCUCUUUUGACAUCGAGAUGUUUUAGAAGAUAUAUGUGACCGCACCUAAACUCUGAGAAUUGUACACUAUAACAAUAAAAGAGAAAGCACCUUGUUUUAGAAGCUAUAUGUAUUUACUUAGGAUGUCAAUAUAAAGGAAAUAAUUUCUAAUGCUGCCGACAAGAUAACAUGAUCUGGUAUCCGUAAUAGCAGCCCAUACAUAUCACCACUUGAUUGAAAAAUGGAAUUUUUACGUUUUUUUUUGGCUAAACUGUCCUGUUCCUAAUUAGUUCUAAUAUCUAUUUUCUGCCUGGUGCUGGCCGAUCAAUUUCAUGUGGGAGUUUCUGUAAUUUUUUUCCUACACUGAUUUCAGUUGGAGAUAACUCUUUUGAUAUUGCACACAAUAUUUCAAAUUCAUUCAUACUUUUUAGAGUGUUAUAUAUGUUCACAUGUAUCAAGUACAGAUCAUGCUCAGAACUUCAGUCCCGGCAAUUUAAUUUCAUCCUGGACAUGUUUUUCACGAUACGGAUCAGUAUAAGUAGAUCUGUCUUCAGCCAUUGCUGCUGGUGCUAAUUAACUUAUUCUCCUGCAACACUUGGAUUUGUUAUAUACUUUUCUAAACUUUAUUCAAGAGAUAUGCAUUGGGUUCAUUUAAUUUCUUGUUAACAAGCAAAUAAGCAGGAGUCUUGCAAGUUAUAUCCUUUGACACAUUAUUCUGCUUUGAAACCUAUAAGACUGUUGUUGAUUGCUUUGGUGUUUACAGCCUCUUCUCUGGUUAUAUUCUGUUGCUUAAAUGCGUCUUUUGGAGAUAAAUGUAGGAUUGUUGGCGCUACAUAAUUAAGGGGUGUAAUUUGCCAGGGUUGCUGUUUGCAUUCAGUAAAAAAAACAUGGAGACAGUAUUUUCUGAAUUCUACAUUUAGCAAUUAAAUCUCCAUUUAAACAGAAGAAAGCUAGGCUUGGCUCGAAUCACGUUGCAUCCAAGCUUUAAAAAUUGUCAAGGGUUAGUCCAUCUUUCCUUCGCUUCGGCUUGUUUUAUUCAUUGUGAGCACAGUUGGUUUAAUUUUUUUUCUGGAGGGUCUUUACUUCGUUGGUUGAUUAAGAGAGCUAGUCUUAACAGAAUUCUGUCAAGUGACUUAUCAAGUACUAAUAACUAAAGCUUGACAAGUUUGGGUAGCAAGAGAUUCACAAUAUAAUCUUCCAUGUUUUGCAGGUAUGCCCGACACGGUACUUAUCUAGCAUGUCAUUCUUGAAGCAGUGGAUCAACAUGAACCCCUCCAUGUCAUUGUUAUCACCGAGGUGCCAGCAGCAACGAUCUCCAACAACUAGGUGAUUGGUUUUUCAACUGUGAGCUUGUGAAAUAGCAACAUGUGUAGUGUGGUUUUCUAAGGACGACUGGAAGACAUUUCUAUUACUGAUCUCUACACAGAUAUCUCUUAUCAGCAAGUGGCACAUGUCUGCUUUAACUUUCUAGCCUCUUUCGCCAGUUAUGAUUGCAUCGACCAAAUAUUGUCCAAUUCCCAUUCCAUCCCAACCUUUGAUCCCCUGUUCAUCCCUUUGCUGAUUCCUCAUGAUGGCACGAGAGAGCGUGGCCUAUGGGUCAGUCGCACCAGAUGCUGAUGACGGUGCCAUAGCUAGUCGACCGGUUGCAUCUUGUGAUCCCGGUGGUCUAUUGGUAGUUCCUGGUGUCUGCUAUGCCUAUGCCUAUGCGUAUCAAAUUCAUAUCCCUACUGGGCAGAGACACAACAAAUAAUGCAUAAAAUGGAACUGCAUAAUUCCAAGGUAGACUAGUAAAAUGAGAAAUAUGCUACUCAUCCUUUGCCUACUUCUUGCUUCUUAUAAAGACUUGGGUAGUAGGCAGUGACAUGAAGUCUUUUGUCAUCUGGUAGGUCAAUAUAUAAGAAUCCAUCAGUUAUGGGCUUGGUCCUCUGGUAGGUUAGCGGCUACAACAGCUUUAUCAUUCCCUCGAACAAGAUGAUUUUGCUCAUGUCGUUGUUUGCGUCUAAUCAAAGAAAACUGAAGGGGACAACAUCUUCUCAAUUGUACAUUUAGCCCUUUUCACAUGACUCGUUUACAUGCUCUGGGCUUUUGGCACAUUAUCUCUCCUGCAAAAGAAUUAAGCUUAGCUUAAUCUAUUUGCUUUCAAGCUUUAGAUAUCAAUUUUAGACCAAUUUAUUUUUCCUAAUAUGCUUCAACUUGUUGUAUUCAUUCUGAGCAUAGUUGGUUUAUUUUUUUAUAGGUUUGUCCUUUGUCAGUUUAUAAGCGAGCUAGUCUAAUAGAAGGCUGUAAAGAGAGCUUACAAAGUUCAUAAGUAUAUAUGUCCUGAGCUAUUGCUGCUGAUUCUAAUAAACUUAAUUUGUAUCUACUUCUCCAAACUAUAUUCAAGCCAUUGGAUUCACUUAUUUAUUUGCCAAUAACUGAAUAAGCAGUAGAGUUUUCUAACUGCAAUUUACAUUCUUUGCUGCAAAAUCUAAACAGGUUUAGGGCAAUGUUAUUGCUUCUGCAUUCUACUAGUCAUUUUGAUUGCAACCUAGAAUAUUAGACUGUUGAUUGCUUUGGUACUUAGUCUCGUAUUAUGACCGGGUUAUGCCCAGUUGCUUGAAUGUGUCUUUUGGAGAUAAAAUGCCAGAUCAUUCAGCACUGAUGGCUUGCAUAAUUAAGAAGGUUAUGGAGCUGUAAUUUACCUUGUUGUUUGCAUUGAUUCAAAGAAAAAUUUGAGGCAGUAUCUUCUCAAUUUAAGCCCCUUCUCACCUGAUUCAUUUACAUGUUCUAGCAGACAUGACAAUCUCAUGCGAGAGAACUAGGCUUAGCUCGGAUCAGUUUGCAUCCAAGCUUUAGAUUAUAUAUAUAAAGGUUAGACCAUCUUUCGGUUCCAUUCAACUUGAUAUGAGUAUAGUUGGUUUAAUUUUUGAAUCGUCUAUCCUUCGUUAGUUUAUUAAGAGAGCUAGACUGAUAGAAGUAUGUAAAGAGUUUACCAAGGUCCAGUGGGCCAUUCUCGAAGUGGGUGCAACCAAUGGUGCUCUACUCAUCCCGCCAAGCUGUGUGCAUGAUUUCACUUGGUAAUGCAGUUUCAAUGGAUCAAUAGGACCAUCAUUGUACUGACUCUGACCGUGGCAAUGCUGAUCACCAGCAGUAAGGCCUACUAUCUGCAACGACGAGCUAGGUUUUCUCUCGUCUAGUGUGGAUGCUAAGGACGACAUUUCUGAUAUUUAUGCAUGAUAUCCCAAGCCAUUUUGGUAGUGGAAUUCCAAGCCAUUGUGAUCGUCUGUCUUACAAGCCAGGCUAAAAGCAAACAAAUACUUGCUGUAUGUCUAUCUGGUCAGCCUUGGGUCAGGUCAGUUAGGGAUGCAGAUGAUCUCUACUAGAUGCAUCAUUGGCAUCAUCCUCCGGUUCACGUUCCAGAUGGGCAAGAAAGAGCAUUCCAGCCAAGAAAGAAAGUGUCAGAGCAGUAAAGAUCGAGGGAGAGUACAGAGUAGCUAGAUCCAAAACCCCCAGGAACAGUAACGUUCGUGUAUGUGCUAACUUAGCACACAGUCAGGCAGCUGGAUUGAUCCUUGCGCCUCUACACGUGAAGCUAUCUUCGCUUGGUCAUCAUACAGCUACCGUGCCUUGUUGAUCGUAGCAUGUACGUAUACUGCUGGUGUAGAUCGAUCUACAGGGGCUUGUCGCUCCUGGCUUUUUUGCUUAACUCUAACAGGCACAACGGCUGGCUGAACCCAAGAGUGCACGUUGGGAUUCCACAGUUGCACCCAUAAUUCCUAGUGCCUUCCAUGCCCAUUCCUAAUCAUAUACCUAGUGUGUAGAAACAAAAGCACCAUAUAGUCAUUAGAGACUUACGGUUGCCCUGCUAGAUAUUUCGAAGAUGGAGAAGUAAACAAAUGGGAAAUAAGUUAUCCCCCUUUUGCUUAGGGGUGGCCGGCUUCUUAUAGAAAGACUUGGUGCUAGACAGUGACAUGUAGUCAUUAGUCCUUCGGUAGGUCCAUAGCUAAGAAUCCCUUGAUCAUGUGCUUGGUCCUUGGGUAGGUCAGUGAAUAUGAAACCUUUAUUAAUUAUGUAACCAAAAUACUGAAUUAUAGUGAAUACAGAUAUUGAAAUGAAUAACUACAGUACUUGGAGACAAGAAGUCUUAUGAGAGAAAAUAUAUCUCAUACAUCACCGAGGCUAUAAGAGCCACCUUAUGUUGCUCUUCCAAAAGAAUGAAACUUUGCAAAAUUCUCAUAUUCGCCUCUUUACUACAACGGAGAUUUGCCACAAUAACAUAGCCUUAACCUCUAUUAAGAAUUAACUACUUCUCAUAACAAAGGCAGAAAUUCACUCUGCUCAGAACUUUGUCCGAAGAGCAACACACUCUUAUCAGUCUAAUUUAUAGUUUUUUUUUUGCCUUCUGAGCUGAAUUGUUGUUUAAUACCACCUUCAAAGCUUUGACAAGGACCCUUCUGUCUAAAUGCUAACAUUAGCACUUAGAGCCCAGUUCAAUGUUGUAUCGUCAGUGCAAAAAGUGUUUUUUUCUCUCUUUUGUCAUAGGUAUGUUUAGUAGAACCUAUAUGUGACGUCACCUAAGCACCGAGAAUUGCACACUAAGAAUGAACCUCAUGAACGCUGCUCUUUUACCUAGGUCGUCAAUAUAAAGGAAAUGCCUUAAGUGCAUCCUUCUGUAGGAUGCAUGACACUACAUACGUAAUUGGGAAUGAGAAAAAUGUAUCAUCUUUUCUCUUUGAUAAUUAGGAUUAUCUACCCUUUUUAGAUCCAUAUCUUUGGUAAUCGGCAUUGUGGUUCCAAUCUCCGCAUCUCAGUAAUUAUUAUGCAAGGUGCUUUCUGAUGUUGUUUUUGAGCUAACAUGAUUUUGGAAUCCGUAAUAUUUGAUUGUUGAUUCUUUGGUGCUAAUGAGCUUUUCUCCUCAUUUGGUCACAGUCAAUUGUUUAAAUGUGUCUCCAGGAGGGAAAAUGUAGGACUGAUGGCUUUGCAUAAUCCAGAAGGUUAUUGAGGGGUUUAAUUUGUCAAUGUUGUUGUUUGCAUCCAGUCAAAGUAAAACAUCGAGACAAUAUGUUCUUAAUUCUACAUUUAGUAAUUAAAUCUCUGGUUAUCCCUUUUCACCUCAUUCACUUAUACGUGUACUUUUGCAGCUGAUCCUUAUUGGUGCAGGUUUUAGGAGAUGGUCUCCUGGACUUAUGGAAGAAAACUAGGCUUAGCUCAAAUCAGUUUGCAUGCAAGCUUUCAAUCUUGUGAAGGCUGGACCAUCUUUAGUAAUUAAGUUCAACUUGUAAUAUUCAUUGUGAGCAUAGUUAAUUUUCUUUCUGAAGGAUCUUUACUUUUUCGGUUGAUUAAGAGAGCUAGUCUAACCGAACUAAGUCAUGAUUUCGCAAAAAGAAAAAGAACUAAGUCAUGGGGCCUUACAAAGUACAUAACGCUGAAGUUUAAAUUUUUUGGUUAGUCCGUAUUCUA